GGGAAAAGAAACUAACAAGGAUUCCCCUAGUAACUGCGAGUGAAGAGGGAAGAGCCCAGCGCCGAAUCCCCGCUUGCCAGCCGGGCGUGGGAAAUGUGGCGUAUAGAAGACCUUUCUCUGACGAUGCUCGAGGGGCCCAAGUCCUUCUGAUCGAGGCUUAGCCUUUGGGAGGUGUCAGGCCGGUUGCGGCCCCUGGCUCGUCGUGAUUGAAUCUUCUCGGAGUCGGGUUG
rnacentral:rRNA from 1 species